AAUAUGUUUUACACGUAUACAAUUUUUAUUUUGUUUAUUAUUAGAAGUAUUUCUUAUUAGGCAAUAACUGUACUAUUUUACUUCAAAUCCUUAUAAAUUUUUCAACACUUAAAACAAUAAUGAAAUUGCAUAUUUUAUCAACAUUUUUUGUUAUGGUGUUCAUUUUAUUUCAUUUGGGAGUAUGCUAUUGUGCCAAAAAAGCUAUUGUUAAAAGUUUAACAAAUGUUGAAGAUGAUAAUGCUGAUUCUUCAAAUGAUGAUGGUGGUGAUCCUUCAAAUAAUGAAGAUGAUGGUGCUAAUUCUUCAAAUGGUAAG